GACGAACGCUGGCGGCGUGCUUAACACAUGCAAGUCGAACGGAAAGGCCCUGCUUGCAGGGUGCUCGAGUGGCGAACGGGUGAGUAACACGUGGGUGAUCUGCCCCUUAUUUUGGGAUAAGCCUGGGAAACUGGGUCUAAUACUGGAUAGGACCAUGCUGUAGGUGGUGUGGUGGAAAGAUUAGUUUCGGUAAGGGAUGAGCUCGCGGCCUAUCAGCUUGUUGGUGGGGUAAUGGCCUACCAAGGCGUCGACGGGUAGCCGGCCUGAGAGGGUGGACGGCCACAUUGGGACUGAGAUACGGCCCAGACUCCUACGAGAGGCAGCAGUGGGGAAUAGUGCACAAUGGGCGCAAGCCUGAUGCAGCGAAGCCGCGUGGGGGAUGAAGGCCUUCGGGUUGUAAAGUCCUUUCAGCCAUGACGAAGCCCUUGUGGUGACGGUAGUGGUAGAAGAAGCACCGGCUAACUACGUG
rnacentral:rRNA from 1 species